AAUGGGGAAAAAUGGGGGAAAAAUGGGGAAAAUGGGCAAAAAACUGCUCAGCAACUGCCAGUGGAUCUCCAGCAUGGACGUGCAUCCGGGAGGUGACCACGUGAUCUGCGGGAGCUACGACAGCAAACUGGCCUGGUUCGACCUGGACCUGUCCACGCGGCCSUACCGGCUCCUGCGGCACCACCGCUGCGCUCUCCGCUCUGUGGCGUUCCAUCGCCGUU